AAAGACUUAGUCCUAACCUUACCGUUAAUUCUUACUAAACUUAUACAUGCAAGUAUCCGCACCCCAGUGUAAAUGCCCUCUCCCCUCUUCACUUAUGUGGGAAAAGGAGCAGGUAUCAGGCCCACCCACCAGCUGUAGCCCAAGACGCCUUGCUUUGCCACACCCCCACGGGUACACAGCAGUAAUUAACAUUAAGCAAUAAGUGCAAACUUGACUUAGUUAUGGUAAUCCAGGGUUGGUAAAUCUUGUGCCAGCCACCGCGGUCAUACAAGAAACCCAAAUUAACUGUAUACGGCGUAAAGAGUGGUAACAUGCUAUCGCACCAACUAGAACCAAAGUACAACCAAGCCGUCACACGCCCAAGAUGUAUCUAAAUUCACCUCAAAAUGAUUCUAGCCACUGUUGAUCAAUUGAAUCCACGAAAGCUAAGACCCAAACUGGGAUUAGAUACCCCACUAUGCCUAGCCUUAAAUCUUGAUGUUUACCUUACCAAAACAUCCGCCCGGGAACUACGAGCACAAACGCUUAAAACCCUAAGGACUUGGCGGUGUCCUAAAUCCACCUAGAGGAGCCUGUUCUAUAAUCGAUAACCCACGAUGCACCCAACCACCCCUUGCCAAUUCAGCCUAUAUACCGCCGUCGCCAGCUCACCUCCCUUGAGAGCACAGCAGCGAACACAAUAGUUUAACCCACUAGCAAGACAGGUCGAGGUAUAGCCUAUGAGGUGGUAGAAAUGGGCUACAUUUUCUAAAAUAGAAUAACCCACGGAAGAAAGUGUGAAACCACUUCCAAAAGGCGGAUUUAGCAGUAAAGAGGGAUAAUAAUGCCUCCUUUAAACCGGCCCUAGGACACGUACAUACCGCCCGUCACCCUCCUCAUAAGCCCUCAACUACCACUACCUAAUAUCUCCCUUCGGCUAAAGACGAGGCAAGUCGUAACAAGGUAAGUGUACCGGAAGGUGCACUUAGCAUAU
rnacentral:ncRNA from 1 species